rnacentral:rRNA from 1 species
GACGAACGCUGGCGGCGUGCCUAAUACAUGCCAGUCGAACGCACAGUUUAUACCGUUGCUUGCUACACCAUAGACUGUGAGGUGCGAACGGGUGAGUAACGCGUAGGUAACCUGCCUGGUAGCGGGGCGUAACUAUUGGAAACGUAAGCUAAAACAGCAUAAUCUUGAUUAUUCCAUGGUAAUUGAUUGAAAGGUGCUCUUGCAUCACUACCAGAUGGACCUGCUUCGUAUUUGCUAGUAGGGUAGGUAACGGCUCACCCAGGCGACGAUACAUAGCCGACCUUGGAGGGUGGUCCGCCCCCCUUGGACCGGGGCACGGGCCAGACCCCCACGGGAGGCAGCAGUAGGGGAUCUUCGGCAAUUGGCGAAAGGCUGGCCGGGCCACGCCGGGGGAGGGAAGAAGGGUUUCGGAUUGGAAAGCCCUGUUGUAAGGGAAGAACGGGUGUGAGAGUGGAAUGUUCACACUGUGACGGUAUCUUAUCAGAAAGGGACGGCUAACUACGUG